UACGUAGGGUGCGAGCGUUGUCCGGAAUUAUUGGGCGUAAAGGGCUCGUAGGCGGUUUGUCGCGUCGGGAGUGAAAACCCAGGGCUUAACCCUGGGCUGGCUUCCGAUACGGGCAGACUAGAGGUAUGCAGGGGAGAACGGAAUUCCUGGUGUAGCGGUGAAAUGCGCAGAUAUCAGGAGGAACACCGGUGGCGAAGGCGGUUCUCUGGCAUUACCUGACGCUGAGGAGCGAAAGUGUGGGAGCGAACAGG
rnacentral:rRNA from 1 species